rnacentral:rRNA from 1 species
GACGAACGCUGGCGGCGUGCUUAACACAUGCAAGUCGAACGGAAAGGCCCUGCUUUUGUGGGGUGCUCGAGUGGCGAACGGGUGAGUAACACGUGAGUAACCUGCCCUUGACUUUGGGAUAACUUCAGGAAACUGGGGCUAAUACCGGAUAGGAGCUCCUGCUGCAUGGUGGGGGUUGGAAAGUUUCGGCGGUUGGGGAUGGACUCGCGGCUUAUGAGCUUGUUGGUGGGGUAGUGGCUGACCAAGGCUUUGACGGGUAGCCGGCCUGAGAGGGUGACCGGCCACAUUGGGACUGAGAUACGGGCCAGACUCCUACGGGAGGCAGCAGUGGGGAAUAUUGCACAAUGGGCGGAAGCCUGAUGCAGCAACGCCGCGUGCGGGAUGACGGCCUUCGGGUUGUAAACCGCUUUCGCCUGUGACGAAGCGUGAGUGACGGUAAUGGGUAAAGAAGCACCGGCUAACUACGUG